rnacentral:misc_RNA from 1 species
GCUUGUAGACUGUGAAGAGACCUUGGUCUAAUAGUAUAAUAGACAAUCUUGAUGCUUUUCUUGGCUUUGCUGGUUUAGGUGCUUGAUCCUGCUUUUCAGUAUCAGCAACUUUGUUCUGCUUCUCCAGGUGACAGGGCUCUCCUUUCUCUUCCAAGUCUUGCAAUUGGUUCUCCUCGCCGGCACCUUCAGUUAAAUCCAAGUCGCAGAAGUGACUGCUUGAUCGACUCAUUGUCCUCUCGAGAUAAUGGUUUAAAGGAGGAAUGUUGAAUAAAUCUUUAUUCUGG